AGAAAACCCAGAGCAGAAAAGGGGCUUCUUGCCAGCUGAUGCCUUAGACUUAGGAUUACAGAUAGGCUGAGUCUCCAAAGGUGUGUUCUGUCCACUCUAACAGAAGCACCGUGUACUAGUGGGGAUAACAUCUGAAUGUGCUAAGUCAGGCCAGAGCGAGACAUCAGGAAGACAGCCUCAGUGCCCAGCAAGCAUUUGGAAGGCAGAGGCAACUGGAUCUCUAUAAGUUCAAGGCCAGACUUCUCUACAUGAAUCCUUGUGUUAGCCAUCCUGAAGACGGUCCUUACCAUUCUGAGACACAGAAUACCACACAGCUUGUCUGAUCUUCAGACACUGAUUAUCCAGGGACACCAAAAAGGACAGAAGCCAACUAAAUACUGUGCACAUGAAGUACUUCUAUUAAAGAGCUAGAGAGAAAUACCACCUCUCAUCAGGCUCUUCCUAAAGGAAGUGGAAUUUCCUUGCACUGUUAACAUUCUUCUCAAAAAAAAAAAAAGACUGAGGCUGAGGGUAUAGCUCAGUUGGUAGACUGCUUGCCUACCAUGCACAACCCCCCAUGUCUGACCUCCAGCACUGUAUAAACAAUGUGGCAGUUCAUGCCUAAAAUCAUA